rnacentral:rRNA from 1 species
CCUACGGGUGGCAGCAGUGGGGAAUAUUGGACAAUGGGGGGAACCCUGAUCCAGCCAUGCCGCGUGUGUGAAGAAGGCCCUCGGGUUGUAAAGCACUUUCAGUGAGGAAGAACGCCUGGUGGUUAAUACCCAUCAGGAAAGACAUCACUCACAGAAGAAGCACCGGCUAACUCCGUGCCAGCAGCCGCGGUAAUACAGAGGGUGCGAGCGUUAAUCGGAAUUACUGGGCGUAAAGCGCGCGUAGGUGGCUUGAUAAGCCGGUUGUGAAAGCCCCGGGCUCAACCUGGGAACGGCAUCCGGAACUGUCAAGCUAGAGUGCAGGAGAGGAAGGUAGAAUUCCCGGUGUAGCGGUGAAAUGCGUAGAGAUCGGGAGGAAUACCAGUGGCGAAGGCGGCCUUCUGGACUGACACUGACACUGAGGUGCGAAAGCGUGGGUAGCAAACAGGAUUAGAUACCCUUGUAGUC